GUAGUCCACGCCGUAAACGAUGGAUACUAGCUGUUGGGCGUAUCGACCCGCUCGGUAGCGAAGCUAACGCGUUAAGUAUCCCGCCUGGGGAGUACGGCCGCAAGGCUAAAACUCAAAGGAAUUGACGGGGACCCGCACAAGCGGUGGAGCGUGUGGUUUAAUUCGAGGCUACGCGAAGAACCUUACCAGGGUUUGACAUCCUGGUCGUAACUCUAGGAAACUAGAGUGUCAUUUAGUUGGACCAGUGACAGGUGAUGCAUGGUCGUCGUCAGCUCGUGUCGUGAGAUGUUAGGUUAAG
rnacentral:rRNA from 1 species